rnacentral:rRNA from 1 species
GACGAACGCUGGCGGCGUGCUUAACACAUGCAAGUCGAACGGAAAGGCCUCUUUCGGGGGGUACUCGAGUGGCGAACGGGUGAGUAACACGUGAGUAACCUGCCCUUGACUUUGGGAUAACUUCAGGAAACUGGGGCUAAUACCGGAUAGGAGCUCCUGCUGCAUGGUGGGGGUUGGAAAGUUUCGGCGGUUGGGGAUGGAUUCGCGGCUUAUCAGCUUGUUUGUGGGGUAGUGGCUUACCAAGGCUUUGACGGGUAGCCGGCCUGGGAGGGUGACCGGCCCCAUUGGGACUGAGAUACGGCCCAGACUCCUACGGGAGGCAGCAGUGGGGAAUAUUGCACAAUGGGUGGAAGCCUGAUGCAGCAACGCCGUGUGCGGGAUGACGGCCUUCGGGUUGUAAACCGCUUUCGCUCAUGACGAAGCUUUGUGUGACGGUAGUGGGUAAAGAAGCACCGGCUAACUACGUG